rfam:Aggregatibacter actinomycetemcomitans D11S-1, complete genome.
UGAGUUGGUCAGGCAAUCGCCGGUCUAUUGAAGCCUCUAACGUCGCACAAGCGUAAACCGGGGGACAAGUAGGCGGGAGGAAAGUCCGGGCUACACAGGGCAGAGUGCCGGAUAACGUCCGGGGGGCGAGAGCCUACGACAAGUGCAGCAGAGAGCAAACCGCCGAUGGCUCGCAAGAGAUCAGGUAAGGGUGAAAGGGUGCGGUAAGAGCGCACCGUGCCGCCGGUAACGGUUGGCAGCAGGGUAAACUCCACUCGUAGCAAGACCAAAUAGGAAUCCAAUGAAUGGCCCGUUCAGGAUUCGGGUAGGUUGCUUGAGCGUAUGUGUAAAUGUGCGCCUAGAUGAAUGAUUGUCCACGACAGAACCCGGCUUAUCGACCAACUCCAUUU